UACGUAGGGCGCAAGCGUUAUCCGGAAUUAUUGGGCGUAAAGAGCUCGUAGGCGGUUUGUCGCGUCUGCCGUGAAAGUCCGGGGCUCAACUGGGGAGGGUCACGCGAUACUGUUCGACUUGAAGGCAGGAGAGGGAAGUGGAAUUCCCGGUGUAGUGGUGAAAUGCGUAGAUAUCGGGAGGAACACCAGUGGCGAAGGCGACUUCCUGGCCUGUUCUUGACGCUGAGGCGCGAAAGCUAGGGUAGCAAACGGG
rnacentral:rRNA from 1 species